rnacentral:rRNA from 1 species
GACGAACCGUCCAAACGUUAUUCGGAAUUACUGGGCUUAAAGGGUGCGUAGGCGGCCUGACAAGUUGGGUGUGAAAUACCUCGGCUCAACCGAGGAAUAGCGCUCAAAACUGCCAGGCUUGAGGGAGAUAGAGGUGAGCGGAACUUAAGGUGGAGCGGUGAAAUGCGUUGAUAUCUUAAGGAACACCAGUUGCGAAAGCGGCUCACUGGAUCUCUUCUGACGCUCAUGCACGAAAGCUAGGGGAGCAAACGGG